rnacentral:piRNA from 1 species
UCGAUAUUCGAAAUGACAAAC